rnacentral:tRNA from 1 species
AUUUUGAUAAAACUUUCUAAUUCUUCGUUGUACCUUUAAUUGACAUAGACCCCA